rnacentral:snRNA from 1 species
UCAGCAUCUCGGCCUUUUGGCUAAGAUCAAGCAUUUUGGGCACUAAGGGGAAGGUGUCAGGGCAGGCUCUUCCUCUCCUCGUGCCAGCCUGGUAUUGCAGUACCUCCAGGCCUGAUGCCAGUUCC